GGGUUUAGAAUGGGUAGCCAUAUUCUAUUACGGAUUGAAGUGUUUUGAGCCUU
rnacentral:tRNA from 1 species